rnacentral:ncRNA from 2 species
AUGACCAGAGGGGAUGGAGUUCCCCUUGAACCGCGACAGACGCUGAUGACUCCUGCUGCCCG